GCGGCGACGAUGAGCACCACGACGAGCACCACGACGAGCACGAGCAUCCCACUUGAUGAUGUCUUACUUUCCUCUUUAGAGAGAUGGAAAGCUUCAAGUGAGUGCUCUUCAAGCCUCGAUAAAUGGCAAAUAAUGAGGUGGAAUCGAACGCACUUCGUGGAGUAGAAUGGGAAGUUGUUUCACCUACAACAUCGGCUGCUGCUGCUGCUCCUAGUACACAUGCUAAAGAC